rnacentral:lncRNA from 1 species
ACUGUUAGUUUUUGUCCUUUUUGAAUUCUGAGAGGGUCGUGUCCUUUACCCUUUUAUUUUGUUUAGGCAGAGGGAGAGAAGGAGAGCGGCGGAGCAAGCGGUGGAGAUUUCCCUCUGUUCAUGGCGAUUCUAAGCUCCUCCACCGGUGGAUUCUGAUUUCUUCUCCAUUCUCCCCACGGCCUGCUGCUGAUGUGGUUAGCCGUCCUCCUCUCUCGCAUUUUGCUCGUGUUUUUUUGCGGCUGUGUGCUUCUAGAUUUAGAAAUUUCAUGUGUCUGUGCUUUCGUUUGUAGGUGCCUUUUGGGAUCCCUGGCAGGUGUAUGUUGUUGUUGUGGUGUUUUUUUGGUUCCCCGGGGCUCGGUGAUUCGGAGGCGUUGGUGAUUUCUCGUGGCCUCCUCGGUUUUUGCUGUGGUAUUCUGUGAGCCCUGUGUGUAUCCUCUUCCCGAUGCAAGGUUAGUUUGCCGGUACCCCCUCCCCUUUGUCGCUAGAUCUGGCAUUUUGUUGUGGUGUUUUGCUUCAAUAUGUGUAGGAUUUCGCUAGAUCUGGCGUUCUGUGUGUUAGUGCUCGUGUAGGAUUUCGCUGAAGUGGAACUAGAUGCAGCAAACGUCUGGAUCUAUGUGGAUGUUGGAGUGCUCGAUGUAGUUGUCCAGGUGUCCUUUCAUGCAAUUUCUUUCCCUUUUUGUGUGGAUGUAACUAGCGAAAUCUAGCUCGUAGGGUUAUCUCUGUAAGUGUGCAUGUGGGUUGUCAGUGAGUUGUAGUGAUUGUGAUUGAAUAUUUUUCAGCUAAUCCACUCAACUUUAGUUGUGGUGCUGGUGUUUUUAGCAUUUUUGGAUGAUGAAAUGCAUGUGUUUAGUUUCCUAGUUACCCUAGAUUUUACCUAGUAUUUCCAGUGUACUUUGUCCCAGCUUUUGAGUUGAUUUCCAUUGUAAGUGUAAUGUAUUUUGUCAGUGUAAUUUAUUCCAGUGUUUUAAUGUACUUUGUCCCAUCUUUUUCAGUGCCAAUGAUUCCAUUGUAGUCUGUUUUAUGAGUGGAUUUAUAGUGUAAUUUUAAUGUAUGUUCAAUGUAAUUCAUCUCAGUUUUCAGUGAAUUUUUUACCAAUAACUCGAGUGUAUUUUUCCCAAUAAUAGCACUCUAAUUUGUCAUCGGAUUUUAGUAGACUGUAAUUUAAAUGUAUUUGCAGUGUACUUCAGUGUAUUUGUAUUCGGAUUUCAAUGGACUGUAAUUUGAUUGAAACUACUUUAUCGGAGUUAUAGUCGGAAUCCAAAGCAAUUUCUUAAUAGAAUCACAACAUAUUUGUUAGUGUUGUUGUGUAUUUUAUUAUUGGAGUUGCAGUGUAAUUGCAUGAAUAGUGUAAUCCUAGUUUUGAUUUUUCUUAUUGGGUGUUUUUUGUUAGUAUUUAGUAUCUGUUUUUCAAUGUAAAUUUAGUGCAGUUGCACUGUAACAGUAUUUGAUAGGUGAUUUACAGUGUAAUUCCACUGUAAGUAUUGAUAUCUGAUUUACAGUGUAAAUUCAGUGUAAUUCUGCAGUAAUUUUGAGUGUACUCCGAGUGUAAUUGUUCCGUUGGCGAUUUUGUUCGUUGGAUUCAGUAUUUUCCACCCUCCCCUUUUGUUGUUGUUGUGAUGUGUUAGCUAGAGAGUAUGAUUUGUGUGUUGGAUCUGUUUGUUGUAUCUGCCUAUAGCUAUUUCCCGUGUAGAUUUUGUGAGGCUGGGUCGUUCGCUUGAUGCUUUCAAUUGAUUUGGUAAUUGCGGUAGUUGGGGUAGGUCUAUUUGGCUUGUUUACUUCUAGUAGUCUGGUGUAUCCAGUUUGUAGGAUUCUUGUCAUGUUUUGAUGAAUAAAGUGAUUCGUCAUUUUUACAGGGCCACCUACCAUUUACAUUGUCAUGUUUUGAAAUAACUGUGUAAUUUAACCUACAUUUACAUUGUAAUCUAACCUUAUUUUACUCCGUAAUACUUCAUUUGUAGUUCUCAACUCUGAAUGUAAUUUACACCGUAUUAUGUCCCAAUUUUAAGCGUAAUUUUGUGCUAUAUUUAUAGUAUAAUAUAUCCCAAUUCUCAGUGUAAUUUUCACUAUAUCUACUGUGUAAUUGUCCCGUAGUUUCAGUGUAAUACCCAACAUACUUUCACUCUAAUUUUCACUCUAGCUACUGUGCAUUUUGUCCCGUACUUUCAAUGUAACUCAGCGUAUAGUUUCAGUGUAAUUUUCACUGGAAUUACUGUGUAAUUUGAUCAGUAGUUUGUUUGUGGUGUUCUUUUUACUGUGUUAUUUACACUAGAGUUACAGUGUAGUUUUCAUCGUAACUACUGUGUAAUUUGUGUGAGAGCUACAGUUAUGAUGUUUUUUCACCAAGUGCUCAAUUAUUGUGUAAUUUGUAGUAUACUUCCACUGUAGUCUGUCCUUUUUCAGUUGAUUCCAUAUUUACACUGUAAUGUCAACUAUUGUAAUUUAUUGUAGUAUAUUUUUACCCAUAAUUCCACUGCAUUUUUACCCUUUUUUGCAGUGUACUCUGUGAUUUCAUUGUAAUUUUACCCUUAUUUUUAUUGUAAGUUUACUCAUUUUUACAGUGUACAUCACUAUGUGAUUCAACUGUAAUUUUCCCCUUAAUUCCAUUGUAAUUUUACUUUUUUUUACAGUGUACGUGUGUGAUUCUACUUUAAUUUUUCCCAUAAUUCCACUGUAAUUCUACCCAUUUUUACAGUGUAUUAUUCUGUGAUCCCACUGUAAUUUUAUCCACAAUUUCCGCUGUAAUUCUAUCCAUUUUUACAGUUUUCCACCCAUAAUUCCACUAUAAAUUUACCCUGAUUCCACUGUAAUGUUACCCAUUUUUACAGUGCACAUCUCUAUGUUAUUCCACUGUAAUUAUGCCCCUAAUUCCACUGUAUUUGUUUCCCAUUUUUACAGUGUCUAUCUUCUUCAACUGUAAUUUUAACCUUUUUGUCAGUGUGCAUCUUCUUUAAUUUCUGUGUAACUUGAUUCCUGUGUAAUUUUUGUCAUUUUUGCAGUGUAAUUAUACCCAUAUUUCCACUGUAAUCCUUUUUUCUAUGCAAUAUUAUGCAGUUUAUUUAUUUGUUUAGUUUUAGUGCCUAGUUAUCCUUUGUAAUCAUCAUUAUAAGCCUAGUUUUAUUCCUUAUUUCUCUUAUUGUGCCCCAUUUAUCUUGUAUUUUUCAGCUUCAAUCUCAAUGGGUAGGCUUCAGAAAGUAUCUCACGAGGAUGUUCCACUUGUUUCUUCAG